rnacentral:misc_RNA from 1 species
GGCACGGUUCUUAGCAGCUUUAGCUAGGAAAAUGAACAUCUGCAACUGCUUGCACUCUGCAACUCCAAUGCGCUGUUCAACAAUACUCAGUUGAUUCUCCGAGUUCUCUUGUUGCUGCUUAAGAUUGAGGAUUUCGAUCCUCAAUAAGUCCUGAUCAUUCUUCAAACUUUCAAGUUCGGCUUCCAAACCAGGUUUAGCCGAAUCAUCACCGC